ensembl:lncRNA
GAUUAAGGUGAUUUCCUUAGAAGGAGUGGUCUAUAAUUAGAGUUCCUUAACACCACCAGGAAAAUCCAACAUUUCCAUCUCCUCUCUGAAUCAUCUGGAGCGUACAGGGAAUUGAAUGGAUGUAUCUAAGGCCAACAGUUGCACACCUAACAAUUUAGACCUAGCAGACAACCAAACAAAAACAGUAACUAGACAUUGAGAAAAAAGGCAAAGGAGUGGUUGGAGUUGCAGGGAAGUCUUUUCAGCUCUAUGUUCCCCACCAUGAUAAUAUAUGACGUGCUCUCCCCCAGCAAGCAGCUGAUGCUAGAUUUUAUGAGAGAGUAGGAAGUUCUUCAGAAGCACAAACUACUUGUAUUUCUACCCCUGAGGAAUCAGCUACUUCUGAACUAAGGAAGAUGCAGCCUUCAAGUGUGGGUCUUCCAUGGAUGCUCUUUAGUUUCAUGAAUAGAAAUAGAGAAACUAUGGUAGUAGUGCUGUCACCUGUAUAGCCUGUUAAAGCAACGAACAUGGUGUACAGACCUAGAGCUAGGAACAUAAUGAUGCUCAAAAUAGCCCGGCAAUGCCUGUGUUUUUCUCACGCAGAAUACUGUACCUCUGUGUGAUUUGCCAGUGUACGUAUUGCAUUAUAUCCUUCAGUUCCCUUUAUGAUGUACUGUGGUGCUGUGAACUGUUAACUGUUGCCUUCAGCUUCAAAGAAAACAGAUUUAUGUGGCAGAUGAAGUAAUGCUUUUACAUAGCCUUGUCAGCAGUCUAGGAACCAUCAAGAAAAAAAAAAUGCAAGUUAUGAGACAAAGUACUUUGUAAGUACUUCUCUAAGUCUUUGGCUUCUGCUACCACUUAGUGACACAUUUGGUCAAAUAUCUGUGGCUUUAGGCUGCACCUCAAGAUUGCUUUUCACACAUGAUGCUAGAAACAUCAGUUUGCAUAAAAAGUUUCCGAUGGACUUGUGAGUGCACAGCUUCAGGGUCAGAAAGUGCUGAAACAAAGCAAAAUCAAUGCCUAGGCAGCACUGCUGAUUCCCAGUGGCAUGGCAUGCACUAAUAGACCAGAAUGGUGUUGUAGAGUAAAGAAGAGAGUUAGAGAGAGGAGAGCAACUUUAUUAAAAAUGACUGCUCUGCUAGAAGCGAAGAGAGAGAAGGAAGAGAUUAGUGCAGCUGCUGACUGUGCACAGAGAACACACAUUGGAGGUUAAUAUAGUAUUAAUAAAAGAAAGAAAAUCAAAGUCUUCUAAUACCUGGUAUGGUUAUUUUAGUCAAAGGAUUCUUUACAGAAAUGCUGAAGAUUUAUUUGUAGUUGAAAUUUAAAAUAAGACACUGUAUGGCCUUGUUUAGCAUGAAGGGUUUUUGCAGAGCCAGACUUUGCUCCAGGAUUGCCCCCUAUGAACUUCCCACUUCAGAAGUAUUACCUGCUGCAAUUGCUAUUGACCUUUUCUAACUGUAAUCAUCAUCCCACCGGGUGCUGAUAAGGUUGGGAAUCCUCCUUCUAAUGAGUUUUUUUGUAUAAUGAAAAUACAAGAUUAAAGAAAGAAGAAUGCUUACUUUGAGAAAAAAUAUUCAAGAAUGUUAUGCAUAAUAUAUCCUAUAUUUCUAUUGAACAGUUACAUGGUAUAUAAAUUGUGUUUGCUAUUUUACUAUCAACAGAGUUUUCAGAGUUCCACAGUAACUUACAAUACUUUUGAGCUGGUUUGUACAAACUACCUUUCACGAUAGUAACAAAAAAGCACCUGACAUUGUGAAAAUAUAACUUCAGGAUUCUGUUUUAAUUUGGUAGACUUAUGUCUACGAGCUCCCAAACUCUUUACCAGGAUAGAAUAAAAAUCACCAUGUGCAUUUCAUUUUUAGUCAAAGGAUCUAUGUGCUGACAGACUUAAAAACUGAAGUGAGUUGCUUGUUUAGAGAAGCCUCAAGGUAGUAGAAAAGAUAGCAAAGUAUCCUCAGGCUGCCCAACCGAAUUGUCUUAGACUUCAGCUUAGCUAACUGGCCAUACUCACUGACUUUUCAGCUGAAAAUCAUUUCCCCCAGGAACUGUUUUCUGACUUGAGAGGUGUUCCAGAUUCCAGUUCAUUAGUGGAAGGUUUUUGUUUUGUAACCACAAACUGUUGUCUUUUUGCUCCACUGAAUGUAAAUGAUUCUUCAUGACAAAUUCAUUCUGACAUCUGGUUUGUAGGAAAGCUCUGAAUCCUGAGGAACAUGAGUAUAUCACUGUUGAGUGACAUACUGACCAUGGCGAUGUUAAGACAAUUGUUUUAAAGAUAUUUCUGCAUGACUAUCGCAUUUUUUUGAAAGUAUCACAAAAAUUGAAAAUUGGUGUAGAAAAAUAAUAAAUAAUAAAAUUUUCCUGAGUUGUAGAGAAAU